rfam:Gossypium hirsutum cultivar TM-1 chromosome 18, whole genome shotgun sequence
AUUCUGUGAUGAGGACAUCUUUGUAAUAGUUCUUUAAACCUUUCUCAUGCCUCAUGUAAGGACUUGUCAUCCAUCUGUUGGAAGGUAGCGAUCUCUUUACUCAACUU